GGUCAAGUGAAGAAGCGCAUACGGUGGAUGCCUUGGCAGUCAGAGGCGAUGAAAGACGUGGUAGCCUGCGAAAAGCUUCGGGGAGUCGGCAANUGAAACAUCUAAGUACCCUGAGGAAAAGAAAUCAACCGAGAUUCCCUUAGUAGUGGCGAGCGAACGGGGACCAGCCCUUAAGUUGUAUUGAGAUUAGCGGAACGCUCUGGAAAGUGCGGCCAUAGUGGGUGAUAGCCCUGUACGCGAAAAUCCCUUUGCAAUGAAAUCGAGUAGGACGGGGCACGAGAAACCUUGUCUGAAUAUGGGGGGACCAUCCUCCAAGGCUAAAUACUACUGACUGACC
rnacentral:rRNA from 1 species